rnacentral:rRNA from 1 species
GACGGAGGGUGCUAGCGUUGUUCGGAAUCACUGGGCGUAAAGGGCGCGUAGGCGGCCUUGCAAGUCGGUUGGGGAAAGCCCGGGGCUCACCCCCGGAGGUGCGGCCGAGACUGCAGGGCUGGAGGCCGGAAGAGGAGGGUGGAAUACCCAGUGUAGAGGUGAAAUUCGUAGAUAUUGGGUGGAACACCGGUGGCGAAAGCGGCUCUCUGGUCCGGACCUGACGCUGAGGCGCGAAAGCGUGGGGAGCAAACAGG